rnacentral:rRNA from 1 species
AACGUAGGAGACAAACGUUAUCCGGAGUUACUGGGCGUAAAGGGCGUGUAGGCGGUUUGUUAAGUCUGGCGUGAAAGCUCUCGGCUAAACCGGGAGAGGUCGUUGGAUACUGGCAAACUUGAGGACGGUAGAGGCGUGUGGAAUUCCGGGUGUAGUGGUGAAAUGCGCAGAUAUCAGGAGGAACACCAAUGGCGAAGGCAGCUCGCUGGGACGGUACUGACGCUGAGGCGCGAAAGCGUGGGGAGCAAACAGG